rnacentral:piRNA from 1 species
UGCUCAGAGAAUUACUGAACCCAAAAGAGGUU